UAGAUUAGCCAUGCAUGUCUAAGUAUAAGCAAUUAUACAGCGAAACUGCGAAUGGCUCAUUAAAUCAGUUAUCGUUUAUUUGAUAGUACCUUACUACAUGGAUAACCGUGGUAAUUCUAGAGCUAAUACAUGCUGAAAACCCCGACUUCGGAAGGGGUGUAUUUAUUAGAUUAAAAACCAAUGCCCUUCGGGGCUCACUGGUGAUUCAUGAUAACUUCUCGAAUCGCACGGCCUUGCGCCGGCGAUGGUUCAUUCAAAUUUCUGCCCUAUCAACUUUCGACGGCUGGGUCUUGGCCAGCCGUGGUGACAACGGGUAACGGAGGGUUAGGGCUCGACCCCGGAGAAAACGCCUGAGAAACGGCGUUUACAUCCAAGGAAGGCAGCAGGCGCGCAAAUUACCCAAUGCCGACACGGCGAGGUAGUGACGAGAAAUACUGAUACAGGGCUCUUUUGGGUCUUGUAAUUGGAAUGAGUACAAUUUAAAUCUCUUAACGAGGAACAAUUGGAGGGCAAGUCUGGUGAACGUUCCAGUUCCGAUGCUGGUGCCAGAGAUAGCGGUUAAAUAGCCCACGCUAGUCGAGCAUCCGCCAUCAGCGGGAGGAUGCCGGCGAGACAACCUGGAUCGGGGGACGCUAAGGUGCCGAAGGGCGCUAUGCCAAUCCCGAGCGGAGUCCACUGACGGACCCGUGUAGAGCGCGCAAAGGUGUCGGUCCGGCUCGGUCGAGCUGGGCUUAAGGUACGUGCCGAUCCCCCGCGAAAGCGGGGCCGCGUCCAAGAGUGCCCGCUGCACGAAUGGACGUGGUGUCGAG
rnacentral:rRNA from 1 species